AGAAUCAACGCUGGCGGCGUGCCUCAGACAUGCAAGUCGAACGCGAAAGUCCCCUUCGGGGGACAAGUAGAGUGGCGCACGGGUGAGUAACACGUAGGUAAUCUACCUUCGGAUGGGGAAUAACAAUCGGAAACGGUUGCUAAUACCGCAUAAUGCAGCGGCACCUAAUGGUGACAGUUGUUAAAGCGGGGGAUCGAAGCCUCGACGUCUGAAGAGGAGCCUGCGG
rnacentral:rRNA from 1 species